rnacentral:rRNA from 1 species
UACGUAGGGUGCAAGCGUUAAUCGGAAUUACUGGGCGUAAAGCGUGCGCAGGCGGUUUUGCAAGACAGAUGUGAAAUCCCCGGGCUUAACCUGGGAACUGCAUUUGUGACUGCAUAGCUGGAGUACGGCAGAGGGGGAUGGAAUUCCGCGUGUAGCAGUGAAAUGCGUAGAUAUGCGGAGGAACACCGAUGGCGAAGGCAAUCCCCUGGGCCUGCACUGACGCUCAUGCACGAAAGCGUGGGGAGCAAACAGG